GUUUUUAUGGUGUAAUAAACACGUUACAUUUUCGUUGUAAAAUUGAAUAUUUAUUCUAAAAAUA
rnacentral:tRNA from 2 species